CUAACAUGUGUGUGAGUCGGUGGGUUUGUAAACCUGCGAGGCAUAAGGAAGAUGACGGGGUAGAAACCCUCUCCAUGGGGUGCAUUGUCGACUGACCUUGAUUUUGUGAAAAUUGUUAGAGUGCGAGCACACCUGUUGGGACCCGAAAGAUGGUGAACUAUGCCUGAGCAAGGUGAGGCCAGAGGAAACUCUGGUGGAGGCCUGUAGCGAUACUGAAAAUCAUCUGGUCACAACAAAAACCAUGCAAGUGAAAGGAAUCCAAGGUUUCCAUG
rnacentral:ncRNA from 1 species